ACAGGCCAAAAGGAUGAUAUAUCUACCUGUACCCUUCCUAUUAUAGAUUGUUUACUUAAAAUCUUCAAUGGUUAAAGAUACGAUGAACAUAAUGCUGACAACUAUAAAAUAGGAAACAAACCAAACUACACCAACAGUUUUUUGGAAAAAAAAUCCCAGGCACAAAUUAAACUGUAAAAACUGGCGACAAAUCUGAUUGUCUUCUUCUAGCUAGCUGGUUUCCUGUAGGUUUUGAGGCAAUUCAAUGACGGUUUAUGGGGUUCCUCCUGUUAGUGUGGUUGGGGAAAACUAUUGCGCCCCUUACCCCCUGGAGUUGAUUGUCAAGAAGAAGAUUAAAAAACUAUCCAAUGCACAAUUUGAAGUAUUUGAUCUCAGUGGAAACCUCCUCCUCCAGGUAGAUGGUGGUGUCUGGAACUUCCAGUUGAAAAGAGUUUUGCGUGAUCCUGCUGGUUUUCCUAUCCUCACGAUCCGCGGAAAGGUACUUACACUAUGGCAUAAAUGGAAGGCUCAUGCAGGUGAAAGCACGGAUGACAGCAAUGUCCUUUUCACUGUAAAGCAAUCCCAUCCUCUCCAAAUUAAAAAAGCGAUCAACGUCUUCUUGACCAACAACUCCAAGAAAAAAGAACCUGACUUUCACAUAAGUGGAUCUUAUACUUCUUUGUCAUUCAAAGUUUAUGAAGGCCGUAGACUCAUUGCAGAGGUCAAACAUAACUUCACGCUUGAGAGUUUCUGCAAGGGGAAGGAAAGAUACAAGGUUAAAGUUUAUCCAGAGGUUGAUUAUGCAUUCGUUGUGGCGUUGCUCGUAAUUCUUGACGAGAAUGACACCCCUUGAGCGGGAGGUCCGUUUCUUUACCACCUCUGCGACUGUCGCUGUGUGAUACCUGUGCGGGUGUUAACCUAGCAAUCCUGAUAAUGGAAUAUCCAUAGACGCCAGCCACUUUCUGUGAGAGAAGGAGCACAGAGAUUGAAUAAUUCCUUGUCGAAUCAUUGCUUCCAUGACCGCUGCUUAAUUAUGAGCUUUCAUGAUUCUCUUCAUCAGAACUGGUUCAUCUGUUUUGUCUGAAAUUAAACGCCCAUUAUGUCUAUAGACAGGCCUAACGAUGGCAAGAUUGGCAGAUAGGCAUUAUAAAUGCACACUCCAUUUUACAAGCCCAUAAGUGGAGCAGAGAGGGCUAUGUGGGCUGUGGCCGUCAAGCGAAGCUGGCCCCAGUAGUGACUUUUUCUACCUCACGAGUUUUAUUUUUUUUUUAAUAGGACAUCCUUGGUUUAUGUGUGUGUUGUCUUCGAAGAUCUUGGAGAGCGUUUGUAAACUCAAGUUGGCUCGUGUUUUAAAAAAUUAAUUUUUUUA